rnacentral:rRNA from 2 species
CCUCGGAUCAGGUAGGGAUACCCGCUGAACUUAAGCAUAUCAAUAAGCGGAGGAA